CACAGAGGUCUCAAGCGUUGUUCGGAUUCAUUGGGCGUAAAGGGUGCGUAGGCGGCGAGGCAAGUCUGGUGUGAAAUCCCGGGGCUCAACCCCGGAACUGCACUGGAUACUGCUUUGCUAGAGUACUGGAGAGGGAACUGGAAUUUACGGUGUAGCAGUGAAAUGCGUAGAUAUCGUAAGGAAGACCAGUGGCGAAGGCGGGUCUCUGGACAGUUCCUGACGCUGAGGCACGAAGGUCAGGGGAGCAAACGGG
rnacentral:rRNA from 1 species